rnacentral:lncRNA from 12 species
AGAGAUUCCAAAGCUAGAGACUGGUGCUGCAGGGAUGUGAAGAACAGUUCUUGCUGUUAGACAAGCCUCCUAGUAUGGACAGUGGGAUUCAGACACACAUUUGUGUAGGAAUCUGGGACUGAGCACCUUGUGCUUGUUUCUUGCUACUCCUUCUACAUGUCUCUCAAAGGAGAAUCCUACAUUCAGAGUGUGGUCAGCCAGAAAGCCGAUCAGAAGAUUACGCGCUGUACGAGGAGAUAGGGACCCAUCCUCUCCGUGACAUCAACCAAUUAUAUUUCAUAUAAUAAGUUUAAGGAAGUUACAUAAGCAUACCACGGUUACUUAAGCCGGUGCUUAUAGGAAAUAAAUGCAUUUCGCCAUCCACCAUAUUGGUGCAGUGUGUGAUUUGUCCGGCCAGUUUGCCGUGGUCUCCCUCCGAACCGGGUCGCCCUGCCUGGUCUCCUUUUGAGCCAGGUCGUCUUGCCUUGUUCCCGCAAGGCAACAUAGAAAAAAGGUCACAUUUAUUUAUU